rnacentral:tRNA from 6 species
GGGCCCGUAGCUCAGCGGUAGAGCAGUGGACUUUUAAUCCAUUGGUCGAGAGUUCGAAUCUCUCCGGGCCUACCA